rnacentral:rRNA from 1 species
AGAGUUUGAUCCUGGCUCAGGAUGAACGCUAGCGGCAGGCUUAACACAUGCAAGUCGAGGGGCAUCGGGAGGGAAGCUUGCUUUCCUUGCCGGCGACCGGCGCACGGGUGAGUAACACGUAUGCAACCUGCCCUCUUCAGGGGGACAACCUUCCGAAAGGGAGGCUAAUCCCGCGUAUAUCGGUUUCGGGCAUCCGAGAUCGAGGAAAGAUUCAUCGGAAGAGGAUGGGCAUGCGGCGCAUUAGCUUGACGGCGGGGUAACGGCCCACCGUGGCGACGAUGCGUAGGGGUUCUGAGAGGAAGGUCCCCCACACUGGUACUGAGACACGGACCAGACUCCUACGGGAGGCAGCAGUGAGGAAUAUUGGUCAAUGGGAGAGAUCCUGAACCAGCCAAGCCGCGUGAGGGAAGACGGCCCUAUGGGUUGUAAACCUCUUUUGUCGGAGAACAAAACCCGGGACGUGUCCCGGACUGCGUGUAUCCGAAGAAAAAGCAUCGGCUAACUCCGCG